rnacentral:rRNA from 1 species
CAGUCGCCGCGGGAAUACGAAGGGGGCUAGCGUUGCUCGGAAUUACUGGGCGUAAAGGGAGCGUAGGCGGACAUUUAAGUUAGGGGUGAAAUCCCAGAGCUCAACUCUGGAACUGCCUUUGAUACUGGGUGUCUUGAGUGUGAUAGAGGUAUGUGGAACUCCGAGUGUAGAGGUGAAAUUCGUAGAUAUUCGGAAGAACACCAGUGGCGAAGGCGACAUACUGGAUCAUUACUGACGCUGAGGCUCGAAAGCGUGGGGAGCAAACAGGAUUAGAUACCCCUGUAGUCCCUGUCUCUUAACA